GUUGAUUUGUUGUCUAUAACCAAACUUCCCUUCCCCCCCCUUCUAUCUGUCAGAGUGCCUUGAGAGACCACUAGUUGGCUCUGCCAGUCCAUAAGCAAGUGAAGUCAGUGGGUGUCAAUCACCAAUCUUAUGUAUUGUGUCUCUUCUCUCUGACAGGCUUUAUCUCUGUCUAUUUGUGAAAUACAGAAGCUAUCAGAUCGAAGUCAAGAUCACACAGCAACCUCUGGUAUUAGUUCAUAUUGAUUAAUAGUUAA